rnacentral:rRNA from 1 species
AGCGAACGCUGGCGGCAGGCUUAACACAUGCAAGUCGAGCGCCCGUAGCAAUACGGGAGCGGCAGACGGGAGAGUAACACGUGGGAACGUACCCUUCAGUUCGGAACAACCAAGGGAAACUUUGGCUAAUACCGAAUACGUCCGUAAGGAGAAAGAUUUGUCGCUGAAGGAUCGGCCCGCGUCUGAUUAGCUAGUUGGUGAGGUAAUGGCUCACCAAGGCGACGAUCAGUAGCUGGUCUGAGAGGAUGAUCAGCCUCAUUGGGACUGAGACACGGCCUAAACUCCUACGGGAGGCAGCAGUGGGAAUAUUGGACAAUGGGCGCAAGCCUGAUCCAGCCAUGCCGCGUGAGUGAUGAAGGCCUUAGGGUUGUAAAGCUCUUUCGGCGGGGAAGAUAAUGACGGUACCCGCAGAAGAAGCCCCGGCUAACUUCGUGCCAGCAGCCGCCGCAGU